AGUUGGUUGCGCUUUUAUUCUAGUCGUGUGAACCCCCUAAGUGUAUAUGCUAGAGAAGUAUUGAUUGCCACCCUGAUUCAGGGUAGAGGUAUUUAUAUAGAACUUCAGAAUUUAGUGUCUUAUCUUGGUUUCCGUGCUCAUGAGCACCAUGCCUUUCUUAUCUUAAAGCAAGGCUGCAAUGUCAAGGGUCAAUUUGUUUGUUGUGCUGUGUUGCAAUGUGAAAUUUAUUCAGUUAGAAAUUCUCGCCAUUCGUUCCUUCUAGAAAUCCCAGUAUUAACUGAUGAAUAAUCUGCAUCAGAGGUAUUGGAUUACACUACAAAUACAUGCCCAGAAAAAUUAUAUGAACAUAUUCUCAAUUACCGCAGAACAGAGUACAUAUGACGUAGCAAAUGUCUCCCAAUUCUGGUAUUGGAUCCCUAUACAUGUUGCCAUGUACUCCCUCCGUUUUAUUCGUUUUAGCUUUUUUAAAUUCAUAAUUUUUAUUAUGGACGGAGGGAGUACAACCGUGGACAUUCAAAUCACACACACAACCAUCAGCAUUUAUUGAUUUGUUUAUAAAUACAAGUGCAUCAACAAACAACAUUGAUCACUCCAUUCCACACAAUACUGAAAGCCCACACGCCAUAGAAAUACAGCACACACCACAAGCACACCAGCCAAGAGCGCAGCAACUGGCAGAAGCAAACCCAAGGGAACUCAGGUGCUGAACGAUCGCUGGCUCUUGCUUUUAUUUUCUCCACAGCUCCAGACAGGGCACAUAGGGGUCUGUCUGCAUCACGCCAUCUUAUCCAUCAAGAUGUUAUGAUAACACGCUUUCAAUCUGUGUUAUAGUGGUUGGGUUGGCUCAACUGAGGAACCAAACCAAAACAAAGUAAAUCGAAGCAGAAGCAGACAACCUGGACGCAAGCGAAGCAUGCAUCCGUGUCGUCAUUCUCACACACAAAUCAAUCGAACUGCCGCUGAAGCAGAAUCAGCAGGAGAUCCAGCAGUGAAGGGCCUCACCUCACCUGCAGGAGGUUGGAGAGGAGAGCAUUACAGGGACGGGAGAGAAACAAUGAUCCACCAGUUCAGUUGAACAAAUCAACAAUGCACAUUAGAGUAGGGACGCAUAACAAUUUAUCAUCUAUACUUACUAGUGAUCUAUCAUAAAUACUACUAGUAGUAUACCAUGAUGGGCAUUUUGUAAAAUCUGUACACUUCGUAAAUAGCAUGGUGGGCAAGAGGGAUCACCUGAGAACAGAGCUCCUGAGCAGGGUCUUCUUGUAGUACCGCGAGUGGAUCGGCUUGUAGCGGGUCACCUGCGAGCCAUCAUCCCACUCAAGCCUGUCCCACCAUUCCUUCUCGCAGUCGCACUCCACUGCCUUGUCACCGCCGCCGACGUCCGGAAGGCGUUUGAGACUCCAGCAGCCCCUGAUCUUGAUGGUCUCCAGAUUGGGCGCGGACAUCCUCACACCACCACAGAUGCUAUGUAGUCUAGGGAGCUCAUGCAGGUGGAUACGCUUGAGACCGGGGAAGUCUAGGGUAACUGGCUGAGGCUGCUGCUUCACGUAGCGCUUGGCGUAGGGCUCCAAAGGAAAUACCUCCCGGAGAUCCCCGCACCACGUGAUCUCGAGGGUUUCUAGCUGACUCAAGCUCUCCGGCAAGUCACGGUCGAUCAUGUAUAGUGACAAAGGGAGUACAUGCACCAGCCUGGGGCAGCAAUCCAGGUGCAAAAAUACCAGGUACUCGAAUGUACGGCAGACUCCACAUGGUUCACUAUACUUCCAGAUACAGCUUGCCUUCCGGAGCUGUGAGGCCCAGAAUGUCUUCAUGCUGUAGGACCUCCCUUCGAGGCCCCGAAUUUGUUCUCCGAGAGUGAACACAUCCUCCAAUCUGGGGCACCUCUCGAUUCUGCACCACUCCAGUUGGACCCAUUCUGAACCCUGGGACUCGGUGCCCGAAGGAAAAACAGUGAUGGACAUGCUACCCCGCACAUGCAGGAUUUUAGCACAAUAAAUUACAAACUCUGGCACAGUAAUGGUAUUGGUUUCUUGUAUGUGCAUAUAGCAGCUUGUUUCGUGAAGAUCAGGAACAUCCGGGCAAGACCACAUCCACAUGAUCCCCGUAGCAUCACCAUCACAUUUAGCGGUGGUACCUGGUGCUGCGUAUAUUGCAGGUGCAGGCUGUCGCUGUAGCUCACUUCUGCUGCCGCUCUUGAUUCCUUCAUCUCUGCAACCAGCAGCAAAAACAGUAGGACUUGGUGUAGGGGAAACCUCCAAAUAUAGCUUGCGGGACUCGGUGUAGGGGAGACCUCCAAACACUGCUUCAAGGGACAUGAGGAGCCUUGCAUCCCUUACAGAAAUGUACCAAGGAAAUUCAUUGGUCGGUCGACUGCGAUGCAGUACUGUUGUUGCUGCCGAUGUUCCUAUAGUAGCAGCAGUAGUACCCCUCUUGGCUAUUUCUUCCCUAGAUUGGGCAGUGGGUGCUGACCGCGUGGUGUCAAUGCACAACUUAUCCAAGUCUCGCUUCAUUAUGUCUUCCGGUGGCCACAGUAUUGCACAAAGCUUCUUGCAGUCAAGUAGAUAGAGCUCAUGAAGACCAAGGUUUGUUAUUCCAGUGAGAUCCAGUGUUUUCACUGCUGUGCCUGAGAUGUCUAGGGCACAGACAUGAUACAACCUCCCACUAAAGAUUAGAUUCUUCAGUUUAGUACAUCCCUUGAAGGAGAUUCGUUUAAAUCCCCCAAACUCAACAAUAUUGACGGUCUCAAGGCAGCUACUAUUGUUGAUUGUGAUGCAAAAACUGUCAAUGUUGUUUCCUGAAAAUUCAAGAACCUCCAUCUUGUUCAUCUCCGAGAACAGGUUCUCUUCUGAGCAACUACAGGUGACACUAGACAUUGCUACUCGGAGCUUGCGGAUGUUAGGCAAUCGUCCCUGGAGCUGUCCCAUGUCCCAUUUCCAGGUUCGCAUCACAUUUAGCUCCCUGAGUUGAGUCAUGUAAUCCAUCAUCUGUCCAGACAAGAUAUGAACACAGUGCAUAUCGCGCACGUCGAGCACCCACAACCUCUGGAAGCACCGACGGACGUCCUCUUCCUUCCCUUCUCCAUCUGUGUUGUUAAUCCCAGUGUGUUGGCAACGGUCAAGCCAUAGGAACUUCAGGCUCUGGCAGCAUUGGAAUGGAGGUGAUUGGAAGUUGAAUGUGCAGCGUGAGAGCUUGAGAACAUGAAGCUUGUUGGAGCAGUGCUGGAACAUGUCUCCAUUAUGAAUAGCUCCGGCCGGGAUCCUAGUAAACCCACAGGUUGGUGAAGUCCAGUAUGGCUUACUGUUGAUGAACAUUGCUAAAUGAGGGGAGGUCAAAUAUUGAUGGUGGUCCAUAUCCAACAGCAUCUGCUGCUGCAGAGCAUCUACAGCUCUCCACAACCCAUCAUCUUUAUCACCACCGUUGACAUCUCUCUCUUCAUGCUGUAACUGAUGUAUGAUGCGAUUGCGAUCACAUACCCAGUAGUUGGCGCCAUGGGUGGCCAAAUCAUAGUCGAUCGAUUGGCUUCCUUUGCAACACAGAUCCAACAUGUACAGGAAGCACUCAGCAACUUGUGUAGGCUUAUUGAUAAUGUCGCGAGACCCAGCAGUGACCUUGCAUGCUUCAGCUACUUCCGCAGCCUCUUCAAGUACAAGGUAGGACCAGAGCUGCUCUUCCUUCCCAUAGCGGCGUGGGCCCGCCGAGAGAAAAGCAUCAGUUGUUCCUGCGCUCUUCAUGGCCUUGUCAACUUUGGUCCGAGGUUUGAUCCGGUACCUCCCUUGGAAUGUCCAGAGCACCUUGCUGGUUGAGUACCCGGACAGAGACAAGCCGCAACAAGUGGCCAGGUCGAUCUCCUCACUGCUCCCAUUGUGGAAAAUCACCAAUAAUCUGCGGUUUGCCUUCUGCGUGUGCUGAUAUAUCUCCCAGGCCACUUGUUGUAGCUCAGCGCGGGAUCCCUCGGCCACGCCUCGGAAAUCAUCCUCCUCAUCUUGCCGGUCAAACAUCUUCAUCACUUCAUCGGGGAGCUGCAGCUGCUCCGCGACUGCCUUCUGAAGGGCUCUCCUGCUCUCCCACAUUGAGCAGUCGAUGUGGAUGACCUGAUCAAACUCCAGGUCGGCCAGGGCUCUCUUCCCAUCUGGUGUAGUAGCACUGAGGCGUUGGGCGAUGUUUCGGAGGACGGCGGAUGCCCCAAGCCCGUCCCAGCCAUCGAAGUAGAAGACAUUGUCUCUGCUGCUUAGACUUCUAGUAGUAUUAGCCUUUUCCUUGAGCACUUCGAGAACUUCUGUAGCAGCCUCGUCUAUCGUGUCAGCCUCAAUAACCUGCAUACAUGCACAUAUGCACCAGUCAUCGGGGAUUUACCUAUUCAAUAACUUGAGAAUUGAGAUCAAGUGGAAACAAUAAAAGAGAGCAUAUAUACUAAUUAGCCGAUUUACCUUUGCACUCAUGAUGUAUUGGACUAACCGGCCGCACCGCUCAGCAGUCAACACGGUAUUGUGGAUCUAUGCAUGCAGUAAAGCUACUAGAUCAUCAGCAAUAGUACCGCAACCUCCAUUUCAUUUUGGAAGACCAUCAUCCAGCUACCUCAUGGAUUGCAGUUUGUGAGCCAUAUAUGACAUAUCCAGUUUGCAAAUUAAUUGAUUUCCAUGAUAAGCAUCCUACUUGCAUUACAAAUGAACUUGUAUUUGCAAUGGAAAGAAUCGAGUGGUUAAGUUACAUACCUUAGUUUAGUAGGAUUGGCAUGCACCACAAGGAGAUAGACAGAGAAACCAAACAACAGAUGGAGCCAACAAUUCUGUGUGCGUGAGCGCGCAGGAGAGUCCAGUUGAACUUUUCUUUUGUGUCUGUAUGGUCAUCAGAUGAUCCUUUUGCUUAAUUGCCAGGAAAAGAAAGAGAGAUGAUUCUUUGCUUAUGUAGGAUAUUCAAAAGAUAAAGAUUAAAGGCGUGUGCUAGUAUCAAGAAGUGAAAGCAAGCUAGGGCAAUCUGUUAUUUAAUUAUUUACCUGAUCUGAUCCUUCUGUAGAGGCUAAUUGAGUACUACUAGAUUUGUUAUCGUUGCCUUGUGAGCGACUCAAAGUGAUCAAAGUUAGGGAAUCCAUGUAGCUAGAUAUACAAUCUGAGCUUCCCGGUGUACGUAGAUGUUGCGUUCAACACUGGCUUAGUAUAAAUUAGUAGUUAGUACAACUUUGGGAAAUCCGGGUAACCUUUGAACAUAAAAAAAAUGGAGAAAGAAACAACGUCCCUGUGCUGAUGCUUUGCCUGGUAUGAUCUCGUGUCCCAUUAAAAAUGGCUUCGUAAAGAACAUCCCUGUCUUGGGGCUAGCUGCCAAUGUCAUGUAGAUGCACAUUCUCAUCAUUGUGCUGGUGCUUUACCUAGCUAGAAGAAAAUACCAAAGAUAGCGCCUAUUUACUGCUCUGUUACUUACACCCAAGCACCUCAUAGUGACCCAAAAGGAUACUACUUCCUCCGUUUCAAAUUAAUGAUCACAUUAGUUAUUUAAACUCUGACCAAGUUUAUAGAAAAAUAUAUCAAUUUUCACAAUACCAAAUAAACACACUAACAAUACAUAUUUAAUGGUAGAUUUAACUAGUGGCGGACCUAGAGGUUUUGUACAGCUAGCCUGGGCAGAUGAAGUAGCCUAGAGAUGUGCUUUGGCCCUUAUCCUUUCUGUGUGCCUUUUCCCUGGUUGCCCAUGCAUCACGUUGAAGGUAUUUUUUGCUAGCUUAAUUGUUCAUUCAGUGCACUACCGCUCAAUGAGCCCGGGCAGGUUCCCAGGGUGGUCGGGCCCUGGGUCCGCCCCUGGACGAAACUAAUUUGAUGUUGUAACUUAAUCAAAGUUAAGACAUAUUUAACUUGGGAUAAAGUUAAAGUAACUAAUAAUUUACAACGUCCGGGCUUCUUUCUGAACUCCAAAACUGAAUGAUUAUAGCGCCCAUGCAAGCCCUAAGAUGUAGAUUACAUAAGCUGCAAUGGAAUCCAAAUCUAUCCGGCCCGAGAUAUUUGACCAUGGGCAUUCAUAAUUGGGCAUGGGUAAACAUAAGCCGUGCUGCAAAAAGAAGAUAUAGAUGAGCUAUUAGUUCGUCGAUCGUUGGCAAUUGUAGAAAAAUAAAUAUUGUGGAGAGAUGGUUUGGUAACUCUGUGUGGAGAUUGAGGAAAGCAUUUUGUUCAAUCUUUUUAUGGUGAUUAAUUUAAGAGGACCUACCCCUUGUUUACUUCCCUCCAAACUUCCAACUUUGACACUAUGCAAAAAGAAGAUUCCCCAUCACAUCAAACUUGCGGUACAUGCAUGGAGUACUAAAUGUAGAUGAAAUCAAAAACUAAUUGCACAGUUUUGUUGUACUUUGCGAGACGAAUCUUUUGAGCCUAAUUAGUCAAUAUUUGGACAAUAAUUCACAAAUACAAACGAAACGCUACAGUGUCGCAUUUAUGGCAAAAUGCCAAUUUGGCACCUCCCAACUUGGGAAGUAAACAAGGGCCUAGACCCAUCCUUGCUUGCCUCCAGUGCCACAAACUGCAGUCUGUACUGCUGCCGCGACCAUCGAUCAGCCUCUGCCUGGAUGGUGAUUCAGCAUUGAAGACAAUAUCAUUCCGUUGUUUCCAAUAAACAUUUCAACAUAUUGGUUACACUAAUUCAAUAUUUUGAUCACACUAUUUCAAUGCUUUAUAUCAAAUUUGUUGAAUUAGUUUAUCUAAAAUGUUGAAACUAGGUUGGAUGAAAUGUUGAAUUAUGUAUUUGAAAAAAUGUUGAAUACAUAUGAAAGGUAUUUCAACAUUUCGAAUCAAAUGUUGGUAUUCAACAAAAUGGGUAUUCAAAUUUAAAAGAGUAAAUUUUUUGACAGCGUGAUUCAUAGGUUUUGGCAUGCGUAAUUGAUCCUAGCAUCACAAUACAAAUUAAUUAAAGCAUCAUAAGCACUCGCAAAUUGCAAGUAUUGAAAAUAUGAAGCCAAUUAGCAAAUUUGUCACCACAGAUGUUGCAGAAGUAUUGUCAUGAUGCCAUGCCAGAAAAGGGAGAAUGGGAGAAUGUCACACCUAAAAUUUUUGAAUUUCAGGAUGUGAUUAAAAGGAAUAAUUAAACAAUAAUUUUCUCAUAAUUUUAAAAUUUUUCCAACUUUUUUCUUUUUCUUUACAGGAAAUUUAGUAUGGGAAAAAAAUAUUUGAUUUUCUAAAUUAAAUAUUGUUGUUCUGUGUUUGUGCAUUCAUGCCGAUGCAUCUUGGUGUUCUUGAGUGCAAAUAUUUGAAAAAUGCAUUUAGACGUUGUCCAGACCUUUCCGGGAAUUUUCCAGCCUUUAUUGGAAUUAAUUCUCAUUUCCCUAGAGUUAAAUCCAAUUUUUGGAAGGCUCUAAAAUUCUUUUCAUGAGCUCCAAAUAUUUUAUUUGGACUCCUUGUGUCCUAAUCUAUCUCCAUGAAUUUUCCUAUAAUUUUUGGGAUCUUUGGAGUAUUUUCUGUGAUUAAAUGGAAUUUUAUUUCAUAGGAAAAACAUUCCUAACAGUUCUGGGCCGAGCCCGCAAGCUCGACCCGCGCCCAACCCACUCUGGCCCAUCUACCGAACCGCCAAGGCCCAUCUGGGCCCAGGCGCUGCUGCUCCCGGACUUGCCGAGCAAUGCCGCCGCCGGCCUCCCUGGGCCUCGGCGUGCGUGAGCCCUAGGGCGCCUCGCCCUAUAAAAUGGCGAGUCCCGAGCCCUGGCGCCGCCUGCUGCCUCCCCCUUCUUCUCUCUGGCGCCGCCGCCUCACGCCCGGCUGCUUUGCGCCGCCGGCCUGGGAGCCACCACCACCGGUUUUCGUCGCUGAUUUGCCGGCCAUGAGACCCCUUGGAGCAAGACGACAGCACCGAUGGAAUCCCCUCGUCGAGACGCAUCCAUUCCGCCAAUCCAUGUCGUCGUUCUGUCACCAGGACACCGCCGCCAUGAGAAGCCGAGCCGGCUGCUGCUUCCGUCCGCCGCCGGCUGGAUUUUGACCGCUGCUGCGCCUCCCCAUCGCCGGUGAGCUCAGGUGCAGUUUCCCCUUGCCCUCCUCUUCCUUUCCGCGUCCUCACCGCCGACUGUCGUCGCCGGAGCGCCGGCAAGCUGGCCGGUCAGAGUCCUGGCGAGAGGUUGAAGAAGGAGUCACCUCUUUUGCGGUUUGGCCCCUGGGAACUCCGGUAUUUUUCCUUUGGAAAAUCCUUGUGUCUUAGCAAACCUGCAGAUAACCCCCUAGAUAACCCCUCACUCUCAGAUCCAGUCCACCUAGGCUUUCUUUUGCAGAUCUAACCUCAAAGUUUAACCUUUUUGCAGUGACUGUUCCAUGAGUCUUGUGUAUCUCCCUUGCUAACCCUCCAAAUCUAUAGUUAAUUACGAUUAGGUCCUUCAAUCGUGUUUAGCUCUAGAAUCCAUGUUUUAACUCCGUUUUAAUCCGUUCAAGUUGCUUAGAUUCAUAAUAACGUAAGUUACACGAUAGUGGUGCUAUUGUCCAUCAUUUCAUGUCUUUGAAAAUAAAUUUGAUAUUAAAUUGAUUAAUGCCUGAUAAACAAGUUCUUCUCUAAAUAAAAUCUAUACAGUGUUAAACACCGUUUUUCAUAAUUAAGUGUUAACUUGAUUAAUGCAUACUUCACAUUAUUUUCUAAAUAAAAGCCAAUUAGGUUAUAUAUCGGGUUUUCAUAAACUAAUAUGAUUAAUGCUUAUCUAAACAACCUUUCCAAUUAAAAGCUAAUUAGAGUUAUACCUCGGUUUUUGUAAAAUAAAUUGAAUUUUCUUAAUAUUUAUUUAAUUUUCUUUCUAAAUAAAAUCUAUAUAGUUUAUAUCUCAAGUUUUCAUGAUUAAAUGUUAAUUCGACUAAUAUGCAUAUAAAUGUGUCGUUAAUCUAAUCUACUAGUUGAACUCGAAAUAUAAAGUUAUGCACUUAGAUGUUUACAUGUAUCUCACUUUUAAAUUAAAUGUUUAAAUUGCAUAAAUUAUACUUAAAUAUUGAUAAAUAAAAUUAGACUAAGCUUUACACCGUCUUUUCUUAUGAAAAUAUAACUAUGACUUGAAUAAUUCUAACUAAGGAUAUUUCUCUGAAAUAGCUUUACAUUGUUUUCUCAACUAAAAUAAACGAAGCUUGUAGCUCUUAUUUUUAUUUUAUAAUCCAAAACUCUCGCUAGCUUUAUCUUCUCAACCAUAGUUCUGUUCUCAGCGUUUCUUGCGUUUGCGUAAUCUUAGAUCGAGCCCUAUCCUCUAGUAUGAUCUUUUAAAGCUUUUCUUCUAUUUUUGGUGUAUUGUCCUUAGUUGUACUUGUUUGUUUACUUGUAUGUUGUGCCGGUGAUUGCUUCGAGUGAAAGGAUCGCUUUUCGGAAGAUUUGAAGAGUACGAGUUUCAAGUGAGCAAGAGCCGAAGAGCAGUAAGAGUAACUUUCCGUUGGAGAAAGGCAAGUGUGUCCUUGUGCUUUUGUCCCAAUAACUUUAUUUAAUCAGCAUUGCAUAUGCUUGCAUUUAAUUUGAUGGGUCCUAUUAAGGUUUGCCUAGUCUGUGUGAUCAUUCCUUGUCAACCUGGGUUUACCUUUCUGUUGGGUAGCUAUGCUUAGCUGCUAUACUUGGGUUAUGGUGGUUUUAAUGAACAAUAUGAUGAACUUGUUUUAUUUAUGCUAUACAUUUCUUUAAUACAAGAUCACUGUGUUUAAUUGGAACAUGGAGAACCACCCAGGAAAACAGUGCAACCACAAGAACUAUUAUGGCUCUGGUCUUGGCUAAUUAAUUAGAAACUCUAGUUUGAAGUGGUCUUACCGAAAGGGCAAGAGGGGGAGACAGUAGUCGGUAUAUAGCACUCGCUCUCUUGGAAAGUGGGCUUUGCUAAGACACUAUACCCACUAGAGGACUGUUAUACAUUGCGAUGAUCAUGAAACCUUAGCGGACUACUUCUUAUUAGGGAAUCUUUGUAAAGACCUCGUAGCGUCCCUAUGCAGUCACACCUCGGAAGUGUGAUGAGUGCCUGAUCAGCACAACAUGGUUGGGUCCAAAGUUCUUUGAACUUUUAUGCGACUUGUGGGUAAAGAUGUGCAACCUCUGCAGAGUGUAAAACUGAUCGAUUAGCCGUGCUCACGGUUAAGAGCGGCCUGGACCUCACAUGAUAAUUGAACUUGAAGAUGGACUUAAAUUAUGGUUUAUGAUAUGGUUAUGGUUGUGCCAUAUGCUUAUGGCUUAUGUAUCUAUUAAUUGUGGGUUGGUAUAUAUUUAUACCUUAGUAAUCAGGUGCUAAUAAAAUUUGACCAACUAAAAAUACUCAAUGUAGUCAACCAGUCAGCCUUUCCUUGUUUAAGCCUUGCAUUCAUAUUCUCCUCACACUUGCUGAGUACGACAUGUGCUCACCCUUGCUAUAACCAACGUUGCUCAGAAGAAGAAGCUGCUAUGAAGUUGAUGUGAAGAUGGUGCUGAGUUCUAGGCAUACGCCGCCCCCAGUCGAUUUCCUGUGAAGUUUGAAGCCUCCGUUUCUAGUGUUUAAGCUGCGUAUCUCUGAUGGUUUCCUAAGUCUUUAUUGUGUUCUUUUACGUGAUACUAUACUGUUAUUCACUUAUGAUGUCACUAUAUGUUUGAAACUUGAUCCUAGCGUACAUAUAGGUAGCACUUGGUUUUGUCCUUAAAACCGGGUGUGACAGAGAACUAGCAGAGAAGGCAUAGAUGUGAGGCAGAGGGGUAGGGGACGGAGAUGGAGUCUCACGAAGCCACCACACUUGCCAGCCACCGGUCACCGCUGCCGCCGCCCUUGCCAUGGUGCCGUGUGCCUGCGCCUCGACACCUGCGCAGGGCAGUCUGUUGUGCACCUACUCCGCUGUCAGGAACAAUGGCCUCAUUCAGUUUCGUCAGUUAAGCUCGUUCAGUUUGUCAAGCAAGCAGACAGAGCAAAGCAGAGCAAGUCAGCAUCCAUUUAAACGGUUCAGUGACUUCGUCGAUGCCGUCCAUCGGCCAUCCGACGUCCAUCAUCGUCUCACUCGCCACAUUGCGUUUUUACCUCAUUUUCACACAUGUAACAGUCCUUGCCGGUUGUAAAACACUCUUUUUACUGUUAUCCCUUGAGCUUGUAUUUAGCUCUUGGACAGGGUCUGUAAGCAUUAUCAAAGGAGAAGAUAAACUCGUAAGAACCCUAGGCUAGGUUAGUCUCUGUAGUUCCUCGCCGUCGCAUCAUCGGCAUCUGUAUCGGGUACUGAAACUGAACCUUUGUUUGCCGAUUCAGUUAUCUACAGAGCUAUUCCUGCCAGUUGCAGUUCGAGUUCUUGUUGUUCUUCUCAGUAUUUUGCUGUUAUCCCUGUUUGAUUGGUCCCCUGUUUCUCUAUUCCUCACAAUUGGUAUUCAGAGCCAUCCUUCCUUGGCCUAAAUUCUCCAACUUCCAGAGCCAAUUUCUCGAAUGUUGUUCAAUUGGAGCGGUGGUAGGUGGUUGCAACCUACUCACCUAAAAUCCCACCCUCCCACCCAGAUUCGAGGAAACCACCCAAUUUUCCCCAAAAUUAACGAUCAAUUCUUGUUAGCCAGGGUUGCUAGACACUUGUUCUAGUGUAAAAUUCCGUAAACUGACCUGAAUCAGAUUCGUGGAGGUGAAGGUGUGGACUGCUCUUUGGUGAGGGUUGCCAAGCAAGUCUUGGUGUCAAAUUCUAGAGCCAAAUCUGCAGUCUAGGUGGCGGUAGACGAUCUUGUGAAUCUGACAAGGGAGAGCUGUGCUCAAACUGAAUUCACAAGGGAGAGAAGAUGGUGAAUACUACAGUCAUUGGUGAAGUGGUUUAUGCCAUUGCUGAGGAAUUGGAAGGAUUAAGAACAACAAUGGACCAUUUUAUCAAGAAGCAAGAAGACCAAAACAAUUUGCCCAGUAAUUGUAAUUUCAAUAGAGAUCUAUUGCUAGAGGUUCAAAAUUAUCUUUUUCCAGAAUUUGAUGGCACAUAUCCUGAUGGGUGGAUCAGGAAGUCUGAAAAGUAUUUUGAGUUGGUGGGAGUACCGAAUAAAGAAAGAGUACAAAUUUCUGUGAUGCAUAUUGUGGGCAAGGCAAAAUUUUGGUGGAGAAGCACCGGUACCCCUUCAGCAGUUCCAUGGCAUAAAUUUUGCAGGAUGCUUGGAGACAGGUUCAAUGAACUCUCAACCUAUGAAGCAAUAGGCCAAUUCCACACAUCGAAACAAACAGGCAAUGUCAUAGAGUAUAUAGCCAAGUUUGAGGAAUUAAUGGGCUAGUAAAAAGGGAUAAUCCAUCUCUGCAAGAUGAAUAUUUCACUUACAGUUUUGUCUCAGGGCUGAGAGAGCAAAUUCAACACCACAUGCAAUGCCACAAACCAACAACAUUAACUGAAGCUUUUUGGUUUGCCAAACGUUUGGAGCAAGCUAACCCUACACCAAGAAAGUUUACAUUUUUUAAUCCUGCUACUAAACAACAAAAACCUUGGCAGAAAGAAACAAAAGCUCCUGAACCUAAAGAAGCUAACAACAUUGCAAAAUUAAGGGCAGUAGGCAAAUGUUUUAAAUGCAGGGAAGCAUGGGUCCCGGUCCCUAGACAUGCCAAAGUAUGUAAAGGCAAACAAAUUUACUCAGUUAUUGUCAUGGAGAAUGAUGAAGGCAAAGAAGAAAUAGCUGUUAUUGAAGAUUCUACUGUGGCAGAAGGAGAAAAUUUUGAUGCUCCACAAAAAUAUGAUGAUAUAUUUUAGGAGCCAGAAAACCUUCCACCCCAGAGAUCAGUUGAUCAUGCUAUCACAUUGUUGGAUGAGUCAAAAACAGUGAAUCAGAGGCCAUAUAGGUUGCCUUUUCACCAGAAAAAUUCAAUGGAGGAACUAAACAAGCACAUACUAGAUACCCAUAUGAUUAGGGUAAGUAUUAGUCCAUACUCCUCUCCUGUGUUAUUGGUGAAGAAAAAGGAUGGCACUUGGAGGAUGUGUAUUGACUAUAGGCAGCUCAACUCAAGUACUGUCAAGAGCAAGUAUCCUAUCCCGAUUAUCGAAGAUUUGUUAGAUGAAUUAUUUGGAGCCAUAGUAUUCUCCAAAAUAGACCUCAGAUUAGGCUAUCAUCAAAUUAGAAUGAAAGAGUCUGAUAUUGCCAAGACAGCUUUUACUACACAUUUGGGUCACUUUGAGUAUGUGGUACUAGCAUUGGAUUGGCUAAUGCUCCUGCAACAUUUUAGUCUUUAAUGAACACUAUUUUAGCAGAAUUUCUCAAGAAAUUUUCCCUGGUUUUCUUUGAUGACAUAUUGAUUUACAGCCCAACAAUGGAUGGCCAUGUCAAACACCUAAAGGUUGUGCUGGAAGUGUUAAGGCAGAACAAGCUCUAUGCUAAACUGAGUAAAUGUACAUUUGCUCAACAGAAAAUUGAAUACUUGGGUCAUGUAAUUAGCAGCCAAGGAGUAGUUACCGAUCCUUCAAAAAUAAGCAUCAUUCAGCAAUGGCCCUCACCAACAAAUGUCACAUAGCUAAGAGCAUUCCUAGGAUUGGCAGGGUAUUAUAGAAGAUUCAUCCAAGGAUAUGGAACUAUCUGCUAACCCUUAUUUCAUGCACUAAGGAAAGACUCUUUCACCUGGACAAGUGACCAGGAGCAAGCCUUCCAGAAACUAAAAGAAGUGAUGUCCCACCCUCCAGUUUUAGCACUCCAAGAUUCCAGUCAACCUUUUAUCUUUGGAGGCAGAUGCUAGUGGUAAUGACAUUGGAGUUGUGUUAAUGCAGAAAGGAAAACCCAUUACUUUUCUUAGCAAAACUCUAGGUCCUAAAGCAACAGAAGCUUCUACAUAUGAAAAAGAAGUUAUGGCCAUUCUUGAGGCAAUCAAAAAGUGGAAGCAUUAUUUUGCUAGUACUGCUCUCGUCAUCAGAACAGACCAACAGAGUCUGAAAUACAUCCAUGAGCAAAGACUUGUAGAAGGAGUUCAACACAAAUUAUUGAUCAAGCUAUUGGGAUUCAAUUAUACAGUGGAAUACAAACAAGGCAAAAGCAACAAAGUAGCUGAUGCUUUAUCAAGAGCUACCCACUCCAUUGAGUUGUUGGAAUUAUCCACAAUUAUUCCCAUCUGGAUGGAGCAAGUUAUUCAGAGUUAUGACCAAGAUAACAAGUGCUCAGACCUUAUAACCAAAUUGAGCAUUGACCCACAAGCUGUUCAACAUUUUACAUUGUCCUAAAGGAAAACUAUUCGUUGGAGACAGUGGUAAUCUGAAACAGCAGUAGUUACAAAGCUUCCACAAUUCAGCUUUGGGAGGCCACUCCGGUGAAAGAGCAACUUAUUAGAUAAUGAAACUGAAUUUUCACUGGCCAAAAAUGAAUCAACAAGUCACUGAGUUUGUCAAAAAUUGUGUUGUAUGCCAUAAAAACAAGUAUGAGAAUAUAACCUAUCCUGGGCUUUAGCAACCAUUGCCAAUACCAGAUAUGGCAUGGAUUCAUAUUUCAAUGGAUUUUGUUGAGGGAUUACCAAAAUCACAAAACAAGGAUAUGAUACUAGUGGUAGUGACACACUGUCAAAAUAUGCUCAUUUCAUUUCUCUGGCACAUACAUACACUACUCAAGAUGUAGCACAGCUAUUCCUCGAUCAAGUGUUCAAACUCCAUGGUCUUCCUAAAGUCAUCCUCACUGAUAGAGAUCCAAUUUUUACAAGUACAGUUUGGCGGUCUCUAUUCAAAUCAAUGGGUGUUCAACUCCACUUGACAUCAUCCUACCACCCACAAAUUGAUGGUCAAACUGAGAGAGUCAAUCAAUGCUUAAAGAAUUAUCUCAGGUGCAUGUGUUUUGCAAGUCCUAAAAGGUGGCAUCACUGGCUUUCUUUAGCACAAUGGCGGUACAAGACAUCCUAUCACACCUCCCUGAACAUGACACCAUUUCAAGCACUGUAUGGAUUCCAACCUCCUAGGGUAGCUGAGGUAGUAAUACCUGACUGUCCUGAUCUCACGGUGCAAGAACAAUUAAGCAACAAACAAGUGGGUCAACAAGUUACCAAGGACAAUUUAUAGAAGGCUCAAGCUAGAAUGAAACACCAAGCUGAUAAACAUAGAUCUAAUAGAGAGUUCAAUAUUGGAGAUAUGGUGUAUCUCAAAAUCCAGCCAUAUAGAUACACAUCUCUCAGUACACAUGAUUUUCAUCAACAGAUAAUAAUAGGAUCAUAAUGCGUCGUUGUCAAAGCAAUAUGCACGCAAGGACGAAGGGCAUGGAAACUUCGAUGGAUACGCCUUUCUAAAUUCAUACACGUGGUCCAUUUCACGCUCAUGCCCGAGCAGCGCUCCACCUCCACCGUCUCCAUGUCCAAACAGAACAUCUUGGCCCUCCCCGGUGCUGCCAUCCGGAUCUACACCAUCCCUGCCUCCACAGGUGGGUGCCAAAUCGAGUGGUCUUCUCCAGCACCCACACCUCACCGCUGCCACCGCCUAGCCUCGCGAAGAUCUUGAGCUUGCUGCCAAUCUCGUCGACCACGAUGCGAGCUUCGCCAUCGCGGCCGACAGUGGGGGUUGCCUUGAUGAUGUCUCUAUCAGGCAACACGAAAGAGGAGAACUCUAGGGUGUUCUGGUCAAGAGUGACCACCUUCUUCCUCCUCUCGUGCCAGAACAGUUGCCUGGCGGCGACCCCGAUGCAGUGUAGGAGCAGCGUGUCACACCCGGUUUUAAAAAAAAACCAAGUGCUACCUAUAUGUAUGACGUGCUACCUAUAUGUAUGCCAGAAUCAAGUUUCAUACAUAUAGUGACAUCAUCAAUGAAUAACAGUAACAGUAUCAUGUAAAGGAAAGAAGGAAAGAUAAAGAGUUUAUCAGAGAUUUACAGCUUAAUCCUGGAAACGAAGGCUCCAAACCGGGGAUUGCGUACGCCUAGAAGUCAGCACCAUCUUCACAACAACUUCAUAACAGUUUCUUCUUCUAAGCAACAUUGGUUAUAGCAAGGGUGAGUAUAUGUCAUACUCAGCAAGUGUGGGUAAAAUAUGAAUGCAAGACUUGAACAAGGAAAGGCUGACAGGUUUACAACGAUAAGCAAUUUUAGUUGGUCAAAUUUUAUUAGCACCUAAAUACUAACAUAAACAUAAGCCAUAGGCAUACGGCAGAAACAUAACCAUAACAUAAAGCACAAUUUAAGUCAAUCUUCAAGUUCAAUUAUCAUGUGAGGGUCCAGGCCGCUCUUGACCGUGAGCAUGGCUAAUAUAUCAGUUUUACUCUCUGCAGAGAUUGUACGCUUUCACCACAAGUCGCGUAAAAGUUCAAAAGAACUUUGGACCCAACCAUGUUGUGCUGAUCAGGGAGGUGUGACUGCAUAGGGACACUAUGAGGCCUUUACAAAGAUUCCCUAAUAAGUGGUAACCUGCUAAGGUUUCGGGUCGAAGCAGAGCAUAAACCUCUCUCAAGACUGCGAAGCUACCAUAGAGCAGAUCAGACUGAGGGCUGGGUUAUACCCCAUCAAUGCCUCCCCUCUUGCCUUUUUGGUAAGAUUACCCCAAACUAGAGUCUCUAAUUAAUUAGCCAAGACCAGAGCCAUAUAGUCCUUGUGGUUGCACUAUUUUCCUGGGUGGUUCUCCAUAUUCCAAUUAAGCAUGGUGAUCUUGUAUUAAUAAAAGGUAUAGCAUAAAUAAAAUAAGUUUAAUCAUUGAGUUCAUUAAAACCACCAUACCCAAUUAGAUCAACUAAGCAAGUACUACCCAACAGAAAGAUAAACCCAUGUUGACAAGGAAUGAUCUUAAAAACUAGGCAAACCUUAAUAGAACUCAUCAAUAAUAAAUGCAGAGCAAUGCAAUGUGAUUAAAUAUAGUUGUUGUGACAAAAGCACGAGGACACACUUGCCUUUAUCCACGAUACCGUUGCUGCUCAUAAUGUCUUGGUCUCCUUACUCUUGAAAGCUCUCGAACUGCGUUCAUUCUACCCAUGACAAUCAUCCAAAACUAACAUCCAGAGAACGCAAAUACAAGCAAACAAAUAAAAUAAAAAUUAAAAAAAGUAAACCAAUCAUCAAAAAUAGAAAAGUAAAGCACUUUAAAUUAUUCUACGCGUUAAGAUAUGUAUUUUAAGAAGAAAAGGAUAGCUAUUUGAACAUCACGAAAGGAUGAUGUCACCGUGAAGCAAUAAUCGAGAAAGGAAAUUAAAUGAAUUGAUAAAGUGGAUCUAACGUGAGCAAGGAUUUUAUAGUUGAAUAAAGGAUUGUUCUAUGGAUCAAAGAUAGUCAAGGCUAAAAGAUUAGUGAAGUUUUAAUAUGCUGGAAAGAAAAUACGGUUAGGAAGCAUCCUAGUUAUUUUUCUAAAAGAAGUGAUCCUACUUACUGCAUAGGCACGACAUCACCAUGACAUCAUACUUGCAUGGCGAGUGGCAUGUUUGCUUCUAUGCAUAGGAGGCCAGCAUCGAUCGAUUGAUUAUUUUGCUCAGCUUGCAAAGAUUAUAGCUGCUUGACGUGCCCAGCUUGCUCGACGGCGAUGGCCAGCGAUCUGAGCGGCUUGGCAAGGGUGCAUGGCCAGGGCAGCAGGACGAUGGAACAGGCAUGGCACGCGUGGCUGUUUGCUACGCACAGGCUGCUAAAGCAGCGCCGUCCUGCAGAACUUGGAUGCAACGAAACAGGAUAGCAAUGCAGGAGACCAAAGAGAAGAGAAGGCAUCGGUGUGCUCACCAUUACGGAGGAUCAACGGCGUGACGACAUGCUCGUCCGGGGCAUGGACAAGAUUGGUCCCACGGCACGGCUUUGGGCAAACGAUGAGGCGCCGGCGACGGCUGGACGCCGCCCAUCAGGGGAUCGGAGUAUCGACCGAGGUGGUGGCGAUUCGCUUCGUCGGCGUCGGAGUGCGCCUGAUUUGGCCGCUAGAGUUUGUCGGGACGACGGUGGCGCGUGGGUGGACAUUCGAACUAGGGCACGCUGGGGUGCUGGGAUUGAUGCGGAAAAGUGAGUCCGGGUGCCGUGGCUUGCAAUUUAUAGGUGGCGCGUUGGCUCAUCCGACUCGUUGGCGUCCGCGUCUGGAGUUCUGGUUCAGGUUCAUCUCGCGUUCCCCUGCAGCCAGGAGAAACGUGACGCUCUUUCUCGUGUCUGCAUACAGGUAUGCAUGGUGCUGUCUUGCUUGCACAUGAUGCCGAUGUGGCCUCAAACUGUUACCGACGGCAACAUACCAACAAGCAACGGCAGCAUAGAAUGCAAGCAGCUCGGCUUAGAGACCGGAAGCGGCGUACAGCAGGAGGCGGCACACAAAGGGUAGCGGCUUUGCACUGCACAGAAGCCAGCAGCGGCGGGACAGCAUGGCCAGCCGGCGGCAACGACUGGUGAACGGCAUGCAGCAACGGUGGAACGGCAGCAUGCGACGGCAGGAGCGUGUUUGAUAUUGUUGCAGGAGCGUGUUUGACAUUGUUGACAAGGGGAGAUGAGUUUAAGACUGCUGCGACUGACAGGUUACUUGCUAGGUUCCAAGCGAGCUCAGGACAGAAGAAGGAAGAGAGCAAGCUGAAAAGGAAAAAAAAAGAAAAGAGAGACAACAAAAGUUCUUUCUAUUUUUCUACCGCGUUAAACAUAUUUGAACUCAAACUUCCUCAUUUAAUCAGCACAAACAAAAGACCAGCAUCGGUGCAACACACACAGAACAACCUUAUUUAAUUAAAAAAAACAAUCAAUUAUUUCCUAUACUAAAUUUCCUGUAAAGGAAAUAAAUGUUGAAAAAAAUUAAAAUUAUGAGAAAAUUAUUAUUUAAUUAUUCUUUUUAACGUGGCACAGCGCCGGCCGCCCGUCGGUGCUCGUUUCCCGCCGGGAGGAGCUGCCGCCCGAGCUGAACAUAUAUGCAUGCGCGGAUGCGGCCGGCUUCAAACAAGCACAGCACCCUAAAGUUCGACAUGCCGAUGCUGCCGACAUGCUCGUCGGCGUCGGCGUCGGCGUCGCCGUCGAGGAGGACGGCGGUGGCGAAGUAGGCGGCGUCCGGCUUAGGGGGAGGGAUCAUCACGUGGCGCCGGGUCAGGGGCUCGCAGACGAUCAGGUCAGAGCGUCCGGUCCUGCAGUCCUCGCGGUCGAGCAGGAGGAGGCUCCCGCGGCAGUCAUUGACCGUCCAGCUGCUCUUGUCGUCACCGGGGACGAAGUCGAGGGAGAAGUGGCGGCCAUCGACGGCGGCGGCAACGUUGGCCGGCGAGGGAUCGAACCGUGGGCGGACGGAGAUGUCCUUGUUGUAGUACGAGCCGGCGACGGCGUGCGGGGAGCCGUGGAGGGCGCGGAAGGCGUCGCUGGCGAUGAUGCGCCGCCAUCGCUUGCACGUCGACGCCGCGCGGAGACAGAGCGGGGAGUCCAGGCGCAACAGAACGAGCUCGAGGAUGGCGUCGGGGAGAACGUCCUCGCUGCCCAUGGCGGCUGCCUCUGCACGAAAACUUGCUAUACGGAUCUACAACUGUAUUGUGCACGGAUUUACAGGUUGCAUAUAUGAAAUCCAAGUUCCGUUCAAAGUCUUGGUCGGCCACGCUCGCGCAUGCGUAUGCUCAAGGUGUUAGAAAUUUAGCAUAUUUCGGUACAUUUUAAUUUCAAAAUUAAACAUGCAAAAUAAUAUCAUGAUUAUAUUGAGUGAUUCACCGACAACAUAGUAUGCGCUGGUGUAUCCUAAUAAACAAGAACAAAAGGAACUAGGAAAGGUUCAGGAUGUACCCUAGGCGCCGGAUGCGCCGUUACUAUCUGGAUUAUUAUACUAAUUGUGGAAUGACCUCAAUCAAUGUAGUCGUAAAAGUUGAUGCAGGAAGAUGUAUGCAGUGCAGUCCUUCGAACGACCUUCUUGAAGUAGCAGUCGUUCGGCUGGACGUAGAGGAAAUAGUCGAACAGGGAGCGAGCAGUCGCGUCAAAUGCUCCCAAAAACCUUAUUGCCUGCCUAUCCCGAGCGGGAUCUUUAGCGGCAGUCGUGGUUCCGAAGGCUCUGCUCUUGCCAGAACUAUGCGCGCAGUGCUAGCGAUGGGAAUGCAAGGUUGCAGCAGAAAAUAGUGAGGGGAAAGAGAGAGGUCUCCUGAACAGGAAUGCCUGAGAGUAUUGGUGUUUUGCACGUGCAAGAGCAAGAGGAGGUGUUUCUCUUAUAUAGGCUCCAAGAGGUGAGGUUCAACAAACUUGGACAUCAUAUUGCGAUGGAAGUUACUAGUAAUUGAUGGGAAUAAUGGUCAUCAAGCACUAAGUAACUCUCAGCAUUUUAUUGGCUGUGUUAAUUGAGUGAAUCAAUUCUCAUAAACUACAAUAAUCACCUCUCUUCAGCUUCCCAUGCAAAAUUGAUCAAUUAGUAACUCCUAGAAUUCAUCAUGAACCUUUUAAUUCUUAUUUGAUUAAUUGAAAUAAAUGGAUCUAACCCAAUUAAUCCAACACAUGGGCAUACAUCGUUGUCUUCCUUGCGCAACUGGUUGACGUGCAACGCCCGACCCCGACGCUUGAAGCCCCCACCACUGUACCACUACCUCCGCCACCACCCUCUACCAUGGCCUGGAGCAAAUCCGUUCGCGCCAGAUGCCCCCAUCGCCACUAGGGGUCUCUCAUCGCCCGGCUCUGAUGGCGCCCACACCGCCUCCGUCUCUGCCACCUCCACCGCCGACCAACGAGCCUCCCAAAGCUCCCUCUAAACCUAAAGGCCACAGUUAAGAGCAUCGCCAACAAUUCCCCAUUUCCCAAUAUAACUACUGUAUUUGGAGAGUUGGUGAAAAUAGUUCUCCAACAUAUCCCCUUUAUCUUUCUUUUUCCCAAUAAUUAUUGGGAUAAAUCAAUAAUAAACACCAACUCCCCCUAAAUAAAGGAUGAGUUUAUGACUCUCCUAAUACGGUAGUUGAAUUGGGAUGAGAUUAUUGGAGAACUGCAAAUCAACUCUCCCGAUAGCUAUGAAAGAAAUAUUGAGACAGCCCCGUUAGCUAGUUAUUGGGGAAGAUUUAUCGUUGAACAGCUAGAGAUGCUCUAACUCCCACCCCAACCUUUAAACCAUGACCCUCAGUUUAUAGUAUAAGUUUGGGUGAUUGAGAGAUAACUAAAAAUCAAGCAUUUGAGAUGGAGCAAAUCUAUAGUUUUUUGGCAUACUGAAAAAAACCAGUUUUUUUACUCCAUUCUUUUAAUUUGGAACUCUUCGAUAUGCUCUAGUAUCAGCAAUAUUACGGUGUUGUUGUGUUUAAAUAUUCUCAAACCUAAACAUAAUUUUCUUUAGAACGAUGGCAGAAUGACUCCUUUUUGAAGAGAUGGAAUACUCUCGCGCAAGCAGAUGAAUAAAUUCCUCGCGGUGUAGUCUCACUUAUACUACACACCGGAGCCGAGCUUGAUUUUUUUUUUUGGCGGAAAGCCGAGCUUGAACUGAACCUUUGCUCAGUGAUCAUGACGCGAAAUUUAAAUUACUGAACCAAUUUCUACCAAAUUCUCUUGAGCGGAUCGAGCUUAUGUAUUACGAUGCCAAUCGAUCCGAAUACAAAACGACGUUCAUCGAUCACGCGUUGUCGUCAUUGCAGCGACAGAGGCCAUGGGAACUCAGAUGAAUACGACGUCCUACUAUAAGGCAAGCAAUCCACGUUAGGACCGAGCAGGCGCCCCGCCUCGUUGGUCUCAAAAACAAAAACUAUUGUAUUUAAAAAUUAUUUAGAAAUUAGACGUCUAGCUAAUAAUCAAAAUUAUUUAUCUAUUACUCUCUCAUUUUUUUACAUGAUUAUUAGAGUUUUCAAGAUUGAUGUUUGAUGUUUCAAAUUUUUGUGAGAAUUUCUAGGAUUUAUUUUUUCUCCAACAUGUCUUGUGAGAACUAAUGCGGAUUUUUCAAUGGAAAAAAAUUAGGCAACAUUGCUACAAAACUAUUAUCUUAAGCUACCUCUUAUUUGUUAAAUAUUCGAGCACAAUACUAUAGAUAUAUACUUAUUAUGUUCAUCUGAUUGUGAUAUAUUUUAGUUAGUAAAUACUCUAUACGUUCUCAUCCAUAUUUAUAAUCUUUAACUUUUCACUUUGCAUCGCAUGUAUACGCUUGAAUUUGUUUAAUGGACUCUAAGUUUGAGCUAUAUAAUUUUAACAUACAAAUCUAUAUUCUCAUCACUUUCUCUAUAUCUUUAUAAAUGUUGACACACAUCAUACUUAUAUACCUUAAUUAUUAUAUUUAUACCAAUAGUUUAAGAAAUAGACGAUUUAGAAUCAUAUAUUGGUUCAUCGAUCCGAAUUUGGAUCCAAAUUAUUAUAUUUAAAAAUCUAUAUUUUUAAAUAAGUGAUUUGGAUUAAAAUUUAGAAUUACCUCAUGUUAUUUUUCAUAAUGGCAUACAUGGGUAAUAUAGAUGCAGAUUUAAGGGUUACUUUAAAUUAUUUUUUAAGUAUUAGUACUGGCAAUAUAUAGGGAUUAUUUUAAAUUAUUUUUGUAACCUCAUAAGCGGGUAAUUUUGAAGAUUAGGGUUACUUAGUUUAUUUUAUAUAAUGACAAAGGUGGGUAAUUUAGAUAAGAUUUAGGGGGUUACUUUAAGCUAUUUUUAUAAUGGUAUAGGUGGGUAAUUUUUUAGAAAACAUAAUAGAUCCAAUGUAUGAUGAUUUGAAUCUAACGAUUGAUGGUAAGAUAUUUUAUUUUUUGUGAGAAUUUUAAGAGUUUCUCUCUUUUUCUAGAGUGUCCAUUUAAAAUUUUAGGUGAAGGUUUGAAAAAACCUCCAAGUAGUAAUAGUAAGAUGUCAAAUGGAAUCUCAUGUCCCUCCCAGCGCCGGCACCCGAAUCUGCACCGUCCCAGGCUGGUAUAUACAUAAGCAAUAUUUGGUUGUACUCAUUCACUCAUCGAGUAUUGGUUACAAGAUUCUAGAAACCUGGUAUCAAAGCAUAGCAUUAUAGAUCAAUUUUGCUUAGAAACAACAUGGAAUAGGAACACAAAACAUAGAAACAUAAAAAAGAAGUUAGUAUAUAGUAGAUUUGAAUCGAUUUUUGUUUUCUUUGUGACUGAACAAUUAAUCUACAAUGUCAAAACGUUGAAAGGUGUUCUGUAAUGAAAAGAAGCUACUCCCUCCGUCCCUUCCCAAAAAGAAAACGAACAUUAUUCAAAAUUUUGUCAAAAAGAAUGUUCUAAAAUUUAAAUCUCAUACCUGCAUGAUUUGACCCGUGCAUUGCAUGAUUAAGGUUGUCGUCGACGCAGGUAUGGUGUUCUCCAGCACCCACUCCUCGCCACUGCUGCCGCCUUGCAGCCUCGCAAAGAUCUUAAGGUUGUCGUCGCCGGGACGAAGUCGAGGGAGAAGUGGCGGCCGUCGACGGCGGCGGCAGCCGUCGAAGGCUCGAACCGUGGGUGGACGAAGACCUCCUGGUUGUAGUAAGAACCGGCGACGACGGGCGAUCUGUUGUGGAGGGUGCGGAAGCGGCCGGUGAAGCCGGCGCUGGAGAGGACGUGCCGCCACCGCUUGCACGUCGACGCUGCCCAGAGGAGCCAGAGCGGCGAGUGCAGACCCAGGAGGACGAGCUCGAGAGGGGGAUCGGCGGAGGGCGUCGACGUGGCUGCCCAUGGCUGCUGGCGGCUCUGCACGAAAACUGGCAGAUCAGAUUAUCAUCGAAAAAGAAAAAUCCUACGAGGAUUUACAGGUUGCUUGCAAGUUGCAAUCAAGUUCAAAGUCCUGGACGUCCACGCCCCUGCAUGCAUAUUCCCUAAUCCUAUUCGGACGUGAACAAGCAGGCCAACCGGAUUCAACUUCCCUAAUCCCUCAUAUAUCUCUAUCGCACUUCCCAAACGUGAACUGCUCAUCAUCAGAUCGAUCCAAUUAGUAUAUCAAGCACCAUGGCGGCUGCGAACACGGACGAGGUGAAGAUGAUGUCGGCGCCGGAGACGGGGGAGGGUAAGAAGAGGACGAAGCUGGUGAGGGUGAAGCAGGAGUACAUCGACUGGAUCCUGGUGAAGCGCAAGGUGCUCCCUCGCCGGCCCUUCCCGUCCCUGAGCGACGAGGUCCUCGACGGCGUAUUCAGAGCCAAACCCGAGCUUAGAGAACGACUCCGCCGCGACUUUGCCGAGUGCGCCGCUCUCAUGAAGAAGAUCCAUGACGACGAGGACGACAUCCUCGAGCAGUACCACGCCAAGGGGUACGCCAUGCAGGAGAUCGAGAUCAGGGAUGACGAAGGAGAGGUGGCCGGAUGGCAGCUGCAGCAGCGCAGAGGAGGCAGCUGUGGGACAUAGGAGCCGGCUGUAAGCACAGGCUUGACGUUUUCCUAGCUAGGGUUUGUGGUCCGCUAAUCAUUAGUUAUCUUUGUUAUAGCGAAAAAGAAAGAGAUUUACAGGUUGAUUUAGUAUCUGUUACUACAUCCGAGCUAUAGAUUGAUUACUAUUUGUAAUAAUCAUUUUAUAUAAGAGUUGCUAUAUAAUUAUUGUUUGUUAUAUGAACCAAUGCACGCGGCAACUUCAAAGUUCAACUGUUGAAGCCUAUUGACAUUUGGGAAACACAGAGCUCGAACUAUACAAUGGAACAGCAGCAACAAAGUCUGAACAUUGGAACUGAAAACGUUUGACUUGAUUUGUCAACCCUCUGCAAGAUGCAAUGAUUGUGUGUAUGGUUGGAUUUCGACUAGUUAGUUUAAUUGUUAUUUCUCCAUCGGGUUGAGAUGAUUUUUUUACUACCUACAGUACCCAAUUAUCUUUCGGAAGGAGCAAAAUAAAGGGAAUGCAAACAGGGCGGAUCCAAGACUCGAAGCAAGGGGAGCUGAUUUUUCCCUUCUUCUUUCUGCCUCCUCUCUUUCUCUUCUUCUACCUCUUCAUCCAUGGCUGAAAUAUUUAGGCAGUUGCUGAUCAAUCCACCCCUGAAUGCAAGCUGCACUUGAGCACUAGGUAGGGGUAGGGAUGAAAAUGAUCGGUGGAGGGCUCAACCACUUUUAGUUUCGCAUUUUUCAAUCGAAAACAAAAAUGAUACGAUACUGUCGAGAAUGAGAAUGAUGUAUGCAUUCCAGUAAUAUUUCGUUUCGAGAAUGAGAAUGAUGUAUGCAUUCCAGUAAUAUUGGAAACGAAACUAUCUUAGUAAUAUCGGAAACGAAACUAUCCGAUCGAAAGCACAUCGAUAAUGAUUGAAACCGACCAAAAUGAUAUUUCAAAAAUGAGAACAUCGCGACCAAAAUGAUAUUUCAACAUUUCAGGCUCAUGUACAGUAAGUCGGUAAGGGCCGUGAUUUCGAGUCAUAGUGACAAAUUUACAACAACGGUUCAAACCCAUGGGGAAAAAAUAUAAAUGGCCACCAAAGAAUUCGUUAAUUACAAUCCUCAUGAGCCAUUAUUUUGAGGUGACGCUGCUGGGUGCCUUUACUUUGUCUGGGAGAUGCCGAGACCCCUGACGCGGCUCCAGCAGCGGCAGACGGCUUCACGCGCUUCAGGCUCCGCCCACACCCAGACCGCCGCCAUGACGCACGCCACCACGGCGGCGGACGGUACGCCGGCGGUGCACCCCCACGGCUCAAACUUGCAGGAGAUAGUGACGACGAGCAGGGCGCUGGCGAGGAUCGCGCCCAACCUCGCGCAGAACGGCGAGACGAAGCUGGGUUCCCCGACGAGACGCUUGGUGGUAGCGGCGGCGGCGGCGGGGCACCCGGUUCCCGCCAUGAAACCGACCCCUGUCAAGGCGCAGGUCACCACCACCAUGGCGAGGUACGCCACUUCCGUCGCGGUGUUCCAGCCGGCGAUGGUGUCCUUGGACUCGGCGAGGAUCCCGAUCAUGACGGCGGUGUCGUACGUCAGGAGCGCGAUCACCACAGCAGUGAACGGGCUCUGCAAAACAAGGAGCUUUAGUUCAGCUGCGAGUUGAAUCCGUCACCGAAUCGGAAAGGGGAAAAGGGAUAUACCUCGGCGCUGCCAGCGGAUGCGGUCGGUCCAUCCCUGAAUCUGAUGAUCUUAGCAAAGAAGUUGCCAAUUUUGCCCAUGACGGCGGUGGCGGGCUCCCGGUUGGAGCGGCGGCGGACGGGUCGUGUUGUCGGCGGCGACCAAUCGACUCGGCGGGGAGCACAGCCGCGCGCAGGGCUCGUGCUCCGGCGGAUGAUGCUCAACGAGACGAGCGGGGGGUCGGCCGGUCGAGGUCUCGAGGGUAUUUGUAGAAUGUAGAGUCUUUUCAUAUGCGUGUCAGCGUGUCCGUACGUGCUCUCGUAUUUCCAUGCUAGGUAAUGGAGGGGGUCCAUUUUCAGGCUCCACACGGCUUUGUGCGACGACCUAGAAGGCGAGAACCCAAAAAACGAAACGGUAAUGCUACUGUACGAGCGCUCCGGACGCACCGGACGUUCCGCUCCAAAAUAUCUGGCGCUUCCUAUGUAUCCAUUUUCACCAUUCUUUUUUCUUCCCCAUCCCACUCCCGUGACCUUUCUUCUUCAACCUUCCACCCCGGCGUCCUCCUCGUCCACCCCGAUGGCGGCGCGCUCCCCAACCCGGCAGCCUCGUCCCCCACCCGCUCCCCCACUCUGGCAUCCUCCUCGCUCACCCGGCGGCGGCGCGCUCCCCCACCCCAGCGACCUCGUCCCCACCCCGGCGUCCUCCUCGCCCACCCCGGCGGUGCCCCUCCCCCACUCCGGCGUCCUCACCCAUCGGGGGCGCCCAACGCCCCCGGAUCCGGUGGCUCUCUCCCCGACCCCGGAGAGAUCCGAGCGGGGAAGGAUCGGGCGGCGGUCAUGUUGCAAUAGGUAUCUCACGAUGUUGCAGUAGGGAUUCUUGGAUGUUGCAAACGCUACCGUUUUUUUUCUUCCCCAUCCCUUUUCUUCUUCAACCUUCCAUCCCGACGUAUUCCUCAUCCAUCCCGGCGGCGGCACGCUCCCCAACCCUGGCAGGCUCGUCCCGCACCCCGGUGGCCUCGUCCCCCACCCCAACGGCGGUGCGCUCCCCCACCGCGGCAUCCUCCUCGUCCACCCCGACGGCGGCGCGCUCCUCCACUCCGGGAACCUCGUCCCCCACCCUGGCGGCGCUCCUCCCCCCACUCAGGUGUCCUCAACCAACCGGGAGCACACAACGCCCCGGAUCCGGUGGCCCUCUCCCCGAGCCCGGCGAGAUCCGAGCGGGGAAGGAUCGGGUGGCGGCCAUGGUGGACGACCUUCGACGGCAAGCUGGUUGUCGUGGAUCUGAGUGUUGCAAUAGGUACCUCAUGGUGUUACAAUAGUUAUUUUUGGAUGUUGCAACGGUAGCUUUUGAUGUUUCAUCUGUUUUGCACCGGAUCCGGUGGCCCUCUCCCCGACCCCGGCGAGAUCCGAGUGGGGAAGGAUCGGGCGGCGGCCAUGGUGGACGACCUUCGGCGGCAGGCUGGUUUGUCGUGGAUCUGAGUGUUGCAAUAGGUACCUCAUGGUGUUUCAAUAGUUAUUUUUGGAUGUUGCAAUGGUGGCUUUUGAUGUUUCAUCUGCUUUGCAACAGUCUGACUCGCCAGCAAUUGGGUGUUGCAUCAACUUGUUCAUGAUGUUGCAUAUAGUUGUUUUCUUUGUUUCGUCUCUUCUUCUUUCGUUGUUGCAAUGUUGUAAGAGAUAUUUUUUUGUUGUUGCAAUAUGUCUAUUUUGAAUGCUGCACGAAGCAAUUCGGGAUGUUUCAUGCACGUAAAGGUAUUGCAAUCCUCGGUGUUGCAAGUGUUGAUUUUUGAUGUUUCGAUAGUUAUUUUUCAAUGUUGCGACGGAGCGUCCGAUAAAACAAAAUUAUCGGACGUCCGGGCGCUAGCACUUCCGAAAAACGAAUCUUGACACUCGUGUCAACGACACACGUCACGUCAGCGCAGAAAAAUGGAACAACGAGAACCCGGGGUCGUCGCCGCCUCGCCGGCUUGGUCAGAAAUAACAAACGUCAGAGCAAAGAAAACACGAAUAGAUUUAUUCAUUCACAGGUUUACGUGAUGAAGAAAUGCUACAUUGUCAGCAAUGCCAAAACUGGUACAGCCUAAGUUCAAAUACCCCCCUAAAGUAUUAAAUUGUCUAUUUACCCCCCGAGUUUGAUAAACCGGAUCAAAACGCACCUUAACUCAUACUUCAAGCUCGAUAGCUGGUUUUCAAACCGGUUUUGCAGCCCCGGCAUCCCGUGCUCCGACGGGGCACCUUGGCCUGCGCCGCCGUCGUGCUCCCGGCAGCCCCGGCCGGCAUGCCGUGCCCCUGCGGCGGCCUGCAGACCUUGGCCUGAGCCGUCGUUGCCUGCUGCACUGGGCACAGAGCCCUCGCCUCUGUGCGUUACCUGUCCUGCACGGCCGCUGCUUGCUGCGCCGCACGAGCUCCCGGCCUCCGCACUGCACCUACCUGGCACAUAGCUCGCCAUGGAGCGACCGAAAAGGAGUCACGUGUGUUGGACUGAGGCUGUUUUUGUUGGGUGACCAUAAGGUGUGUUUGAUUUCUGCCCCCUUGCGAAUUGGCUUUAGUUUUGCAUCUUGGAGCGCUAAUACAUUGAUCCAAAAGAUUAUAUUGCUGCGGUCAGAAAGAUUGGUCCUGGGAGCAUGCAUCACAGUUAUUAAUGAAGCAAUCUGCCACUACAAUCUGAAACUGAGGGCCUGUUUGGAUCCAUGGACUAAAUUUUAGUCUUGCACUUUUAGCUCAAAAUUUAGCUCUUGGGAUCCAAAAAGGAGGGCUAAAAGUGACAAAUAGCUAAACUUUAGGAGCUAAAUUUUAACCCCCAAAGAGGACCUAAAAGAGGCUAAAAGUGCUCCCGGAUGCCACUUUCCUCUCCUUACCCCUUCUCUCUCCUCCCCGCACUCUCUCUCCCUCUGCACUCUCUCUCCCUCCCUACAUGCUCCGCCCGCCCCCGCCUCCUUCGCCCGCCACCGCCAUCUCCGCUCCGCCCCACGGCGCUGCCACCUCCUCCUCCGCCUCCGCCUCGCCCCUGCCGCCACCUCCUCCGCCGCCGCCUCGACCCCGCCGCCGCCGGCCUCGAUGCUGCCGGCCGCCAGAUCUGGGGGCCGCGGCCGCCGCCAGAUCUUCCGCCAGGCCCCCGCCUCCGCCCGACCCCACGUCCUCCACCCGCCCCCACGCGCUACCCUAUCCAAUCACGCGCCACGCACCCUGUGGAGGAGGGAGGCGGCGGCGGACGCGGGCGCGGGCGCGCGGCGCUGAGCUGCAACGCCGCCUCGAGCAGACCUACGGCAAGCGCCGCCGCCUCGUCAAGAAGGCCCGCGGCCGGAUCCACGAGAUCCGCGCGCGCCUUCAUGAGCGCGAGCAGCAACAGCCCCCCCCCUCCCCCCCGCAGCCCAAGCAAUCGAUCGUGUCCGGUCUCCGAUCGAACAGUAGCUACCAAAUCCCCUUCUCAGUUGUUCUCCAUCUUCGAUGGAAUGGAACAGUAGCUAACAAAUUCUUGUGCUUCCGAUUUUCGCCUGCAGGGCAAGCUGCUGUCCAUGAUGCCUGUUUGUUGCUACCGCUUCUCUUUUCUGAACUUCACAUUGGGAGCUGCCACUGCAACUAGCUAGCGGCUGGUGACUACUUUGUCCGAGAUAAGUGAAACAGCAUGGAAGAAACUAGCAGGCGCAUGGUAGGCGACCAGCAGGAACAGCAAGUAGUUCCUAGCAGGCGCAUGGGUGCAUGUGCAUUCCUGUGCAUGUGCAUGGAGUCAUUAACGAGGGGCAAAUCAGUCAUUAUUUGAUGAGAAACUAAAGUUUAGCUCAUGGAUCCAAACAGCCCAGCAAGACUAAAGUUUAGGGGCUAAAAUUUAGUCCAUGAACUAGUGAUCCAAACACCACCUGAAUGCUGGAAAAACUGUCUCCCUCUAGCUCCUGGACAAUUGUGAUUCCGUCAGUAGCUUUCAGUGCCAAAAAUAGCUCAAUUUGGUGGUUGCGGAUACACUGGAAUGACCUGAAAGAUGAAAAGGGCCCGAUGGUUCUUGCUUCGCAUUGCCUGUACCCACGGACGCAUAAACCAACGUCGACAGAGAAGGAUGCCACCGUACGGCCGGGACGGGAGGCAAGGGGUAACGCACGGGAGCCAGACCUAAACAUACUUAGCUACGUAGGCCACUAACGUGUCAGUCCAGUCAGUAAAACCGGAUGAAAACCAGCCGCCGGUUUAAAUAACGUGCUAAAAGGUGUAUUUUCAUCUGGGUUUAAAAAACAAGGGGUUAAGUAGACCAUUUAAUACUUUAGGGGUUAUUUGGACCUAGGCUGUACUUGAAGGUAGUAAAUUGGACUUUUUCCAAACUAGUAUACACAAUCUAUAUUCCGUUUUAUUGGCCUUCCGUCCACAUGAUCCCCAUGGAAACGCGGGGGCCUAGGAUUCUGACACGCCACAUGGAUGACGAGACCGGCCAUCUUAUCGGCGCCGCUAUUCCCUCUUCGCUAUAACCAGAGGAAGUGACGAAAUCUUCAUUGCUGCACAUCUCACUCCAUGUUGUUGUGCUUGCCAUAGGUCUUGCAUGCCUGCAACAAGCUAUGCUUGCCCACCUGAUCGCCAUGCAACCAUGUGCAUCGAUUCUUCGAUAAAAUAAAAAACAAAAACCACGUCAUAGAAAAACUAACACAUUCAAAAAAAACUAAAAACUGAGAAGAUUGUUGAAAUGUCGGUUUAAUGUUUCUCUCCAAAUCCCGUAAAAUUUAGAAAAUGAGGGUAAAUAUGUAGUUAAAGGUGAAAAUAAGGACAAUUAUAUAUACAAUUGCCGUGUAUUAUUUGUAGUAGCUAAAACAUAAAUAGUAUAUGUAUAUGACUUUCAAGCUUGACCCUCGAGUCAAAGACACACGUCACGUCAGCCGAGAAAAAAUGGAACAAGACAACGCGCGGGGCCGAGAGCUGUGGCCCGAUUGCGAUUGCGACACGCCACAUGAAGGACUUGCGAGUUGACUGUGGUCGAGUCGUUGAGAAAUGGAAGCUUCUCUGUGUCAGCUGCAUUGCAUUUGCUCUGCAUUUUCCUUUUUGGAUUCUCUCGAUCACACUCGGGAGCUGGUUUAUAUUUGCCAAUUACUGGAUACGAGCUGGUCUAGAGGUUCAUAAACCAGUCAGGUCAACCAAAGCAAUCCUCAGGGUCACCAUGCAUGUGACUUCCAAAAUUUGACAGACCAACAACCACAGCAUGUCAGCAUCAGUAAGUAACCAUCACAACGUAGAAAGAUUAAGUGAGAAACCUACAUACUAGAUAUGAGAGCAGAGCAAAAACAAGUCGGCGACGGCGACGGCGACGGCAGCGCGGCGGCGGCGGAGCCGUGGGGAUCCCUGGUGGUGGCGCUGCGUCCACAACAGCAUCAGCUAUGCUCGCCCAAGUAGCACGGCUUAAAAACUGAGCAUUUGUCCAACACGUUAGUACCGGACGUUAUUUCAUCACGCCCAGUACCACCGGAGUCCUUGUACUACCGGUUUGGAGCCUUAGCCGGUACUAAAUGGCGGCGGAUCGAUUGGCCAACGGCUAGAUUUCCUUGGAAGCCAUUUAGUACCGGCUGGUAGUUUCAACCGGUACUAGAUAGUGUUCACGCAUGUGUGUACCGGCUGUUAGCUUCAGCCGGUACUAAAUGUCACAAUUUAGUACCAGUUAGAGCCACCAACCAGCACUAACAUACAAACUAUAAAAUAAGAUCCUUCUUCCUCCCCGAGCUCGAGCUCAACUAUUUGACCGAGAGCUCGGGCUUCUUCACUCCCAUGGCGACCUAGGGGACGUGCUGCCCAUUUUUUCACGAUUUGGGGGGAUUUCACUCUUCCAAUUGUUCUAAAGGUUAGGAAUUUCAUCCUCCCUCCUAUCAUAAUUAGUAUUCUAUAUUUUAUACUUUGUAGCUAGAGAAGUUUAUGCUUUUUUAAAGUGCGGAUGAAUGAAGAGUUUUUCAAUUUAUACAUGCAUGUAGAAUGUAGAAUUUUUACUUAUGAAAGUCUGUUUGAUAAUGAGAAAUUCGUAUUGGAUGUUGAUAAAUAUGUGUUGUGUUAAUUACUUUUGUUGCUUUACAUAAAUAACAUAAGUACAAUGUUGAAACAGAAAUAAUCAACUAAUUUUGUUGCUUUACAUAAAUAAUAUAGUUGAGCUCAAGCUAAUGACGAUUUGGGACAAAGGGAGUUGCUGUCAAAAUUACUCACAAAAUUUACAGGGAUUUAAUUUGCUCAUCGAAAGUGGUCCAUAUAUAAAAGGUCAGCAAUAUUUUUUGGAAAGUUUUUUUUACAUUUGUUGCUUUACAAAUGGAGAAGUAAAUUUAAAACUUUUUGCAGAUGGACCAGCAAUGGCUGUACGGCGACUAGUGCUCCGUGCCGUUGAUUAAUAGCCUAAAGAAUUUUCUCGAAGCAGCAGAGGCCAACAAGUUGCCAAAGGAUUUCAUGUGUUGUCCAUGCAGAAUGUGCAAAAAUAAAAAGGAUUACUCUAAUAGAGAAACUCUACAUGGCCACAUAUUUCGUUGGGGUUUCAUGGAUAACUAUAUUCUUUGGACCAAGCACGGCGAAAGAGAAGUUGUAUUGGAAGGUGAAGAAGAUGAUGAUGAUAACAACAUUCCAGCUGACUGGGCUAAAGGUGGUGCCUUUGCAGAUUUUGAAAUGGGCAAGGCUGAAGAAAAUUUUGCAGAAGAUGAACCACCUAACGAACUAGGUCAGGUGUUGCUAGAUGCAAAGAAACACUCUAAAAAUGCGAAGGAGACAAAGAAAUUUGAGAAGAUGUUGGAGGAUCACAAAAAGUUAUUGUACCCCAAUUGCAAACAAGGCCACAAAAAGUUAGGUAGCACACUGGAAUUGAUGUAGUGGAAGGCAGCAAAUGGUGUGACCAAUAAGAGAUUUGGGGAGCUACUGACAAUCGUAAAGAACAUGCUUCCCGAGAGUAGCAAACUUCCCUCAACCACAUAUGAAUAAAAAAAGGUUGUUUGCCCUCUAGGAUUGGAUGUACAAAAGAUACACACAUGUCCUAAUGAUUGUAUCCUUUAUCGUGACGAGGAAUAUGAGAAAUUGGAUGCUUGUCCUGUUUGCGAGGCAUUGCGGUAUAAGAUUAGAUGAGAUGACCUUGGUGAUGUUGAUGGGCAGCCUAUCAACAAGAGAGUUCCAGCAAAGGUGAUGUAGUAUUUUCCUGUAAUACCAUGUUUGAAGCGCUUGUUCAUAAACAAGGCGCAAGCUAAGUUGAUGUGAUGGCACAAAGAAGAACGUAAGCAAGAUGAGAAGCUGAGACACCCCGCGGAUGGUUUUCAGUGGAGAAACGUUGACAAACAAUUUCCAGACUUUGAGAAGGACACAAGGAACCUAAGGUUUUGUUUAAGCACUGAUGGAAUGAAUCCAUUUGGUGAGUUCGGUAGUGCUCAUUGUACAUGGCAUGUUACCAAAUAUAUCUUCAACCUUCCUUCUUGGUUGUGCAUGAAGUGCAAGUUCAUCAUGAUGCCGGUCAUUAUCAAAGGAACAAAACAACCUAGCAACGACAUUGACGUGUACCUAAGACCGUUAGUUUAUGAACUUUUACUGCCCUGGAAGGAAAAAAGUGUACAUGUGUGGGAUGAGGAAAAACAGGAGACUUUCAUUCUCAGAGCAUUGCCUUUUGUAACCAUCAAUGAUUGGCUUGCACUUCAUAAACUAUCAGGACAGACAAACAAGGGAUAUCGGGCGUGCACCCACUGUCUAGAUGAAAUCGAUAGCAUGUAUUUGAAACACUGUCGGAAUGUGGUGUAUAUGAGCCAUCGUCGAUUUCUUCCUGCGAAUCACCCUUUAAGAAAGAAAGGAAAGAAUUUUAAAGGGGAGCCCGACACUCGUACUAAGCCUUUACACCGUAACGGAAAGCGUGUAUUUUCUAUGAUAAAGGAUGUGAAGGUAGUCUUUGGUAAGGGUUCUGGUAGCCAACCUGUUCCGAACAACGAUAAUGGACGUGCAGCCAUAUGGAAGAAGAAGUUUAUAUCCUGGGAGCUACCUUAUUAGGAAGUUCUAGAGGUCUGCAACACAAUUGAUGUGAUCCACCUGACAAAGAAUCUUUGCGUGAACCUGCUAGGCUUCCUCGGUGUUUAUGGGGCACCAAAGGAUACAUUGGAAGCAAGGCAGACCUUGAAAACGUACGGAAUAACAAGAGGACCUACAUCCAGAAAAGAGAGAGAAUGGACAACACUACUUAUGUCCUGCCAGCUACACUCUGAGCAAAGAGGAGAAAGAAAGCAUGUUUGUUUGCUUGGAUAGUAUGAAGGUCCCAUCCAUGUACUCCUCUAAUAUACAAGGAAUAAUAAAUGUGAAAGAGAAGAAAUUCACAAAUCUAAAGUCACAUGACUGACAUGUCCUGAUGACACAGUUGCUUCCAGUUGCACUGAGGGGUAUUCUACCAGAGAAUGUGAGAUUGGCAACUGUAAAGCUAUGUGCGUUCCUCAAUGAAAUUUCGUAGAAUGCAAUCGAUCCAAACAAUCUAAUAAAGCUAUAAAAUGAUGUGGUCCAAUACCUUGUUAGCUUUGAGAUGGUCUUUCCACUUUCCUUCUUUAAUAUUAUGACUUAUCUCUUGGUUCACCUUGUUAAAGAGAUAAUCAUUCUGGAUCCAGUAUACCUGCACAAUAUGUGGCCUUUCAAAAGGUUCAUGUUGGUCCUAAAGAAGUAUGUUCACAAUCGUGCCCGUCCAAAAGGAAGCAUCACCAAGGGAUAUGGAGCAGAGGAGGUCAUUGACUUUUGUGUUGACUUUAUUGAUGGAUUUAGUUCGAUAGGGGUCCCCGUGUCACGACAUGAGGGCCACGUGAAGAGAAGGCACACUCGGGAAGAAUGGUAAUAUCAACAUACAUGAGACUGAAAUCUGCAAAGCAAACUUCACAGUGCUGCAGAAUUCAUCCUUGGUUGCUCCAUAUAUGGAGGAGCACAAGGAUACUGUACGGUCAAAAAAUUCAGGGAAGUCUAAGGCAUGGAUUACACGGCAUCACAUAGAUACUUUCGCAACAUGGAUUCGACAACACCUCAUGGGUAACGAGACGAUUGGUGAACAACUUCAAUGGAUGGCUAGGCGACCAUCUAUCUCGAUAUUGCAAUACCACGGGUCCGAGACAAAUGGGUUUAUAUUUUAUAUGAGAGCCCAAGAUCAAAAGAGUACCAACCAAAAUAGUGGUGUCCGUGUAGUUGCAAUAGACAAUACUGGAAAUAAGGAUAGUUACUAUGGUGUCAUAGAGGAGAUUUGGGAACUUGAUUAUGGACCUUUGAAGGUCCCUCUGUUUUUCUGCUAAUGGGUUGCUGGAGGAGGCGUAACAAAAGACCGUAAUGGGAUGAUAAUAGUGGAUCUCAACAAGAUUGGAUAUAGAGACGAAUCAUUCAUCCUAGCCAAGGAUAUGAGUCACGUUUUCUAUGUGAAGGAAAUGUUAAGCAAACCCAAGAUGAAGGUCGGUAAAAAGUUAGAAGAUGAGCCAAAACACCACAUAGUUCUGCAAGGGAAAAGAAAAAUCGUUGGAGUUGAGGAUAUUCCAGACAAGUCAGAAGAUUUUGAUCAGUUUGAUGACCUUCCACCAUUCUCAGUUCAGGUUGACCCUAUCAUCUUAUUAUCCAAAGAAGACACUCCGUACUUAUGCCACGAUCAUGUCGAAGGGACGUUCGUCAAGAAGAAAAUUAUCAAUGUUCCAUUGAAUAAUAAUGAGUCACUUUAAAACUUUAAUAUUAUGUGGUAUUAUGUGGUCAUGUGAUGAACUAUGUAAUCUAUUUUGUACAAUUUGAACAAUUGUGUGGUAUUUCUCUCAAUUAAUGAUACUAUUUUAGCUCCUCAAAAUUCUAGAAACAUUAAAUUAGAGGCAAUUAUACAAGUAUAUUUUAUAUUGAUGGCAUAAUUGUCAAAUUUAUUAUAGCUAAUAUUUCUUAAUAUUUUAGCAUGUUGAAAAUAGUAGUUUUUUUCCUUUUUUAUGGAUUACCAGUAGUAUGGAAACAUUUCAUAUCCUAUUAGUAAUUAAAAACUUCUAAUUUUACAAUAUAAAUAAAUUGUUGUAUGGUGCAAAGAUAAUCAAUAGUAAGAUAUGAAAUGUUUUUCAAGUAUUUUUCCUAAGUUUACUCCAUUUAUUAAGCAUAAAACUAAUAUAACAGCAAUUUUGAAAUAAGAAAAGAAAAUAGAGUGUUGGUGGGAAACGAAACACCAGGGAAAGGUUAGUACCGGGCGGAAGCUUUGCCCAGUACUAAAUUUCCCCAGUUUCGCCUCCCGCCUUUUUUGGCCAAAUUAGUACCGGGAGGUGGCAUUGCCCGGUACUAAAUGGCACAAUUUAGUACUGGGUAGCAGCUUUGCCCGGUACUAAAAGCCAUUUUGUACCGGGCAAGGCCUCCACCCAGUACUAAUCUGGCCUAACCUACAAAAAUCCCACCCCUCGUCUUCUCCAACACUUAGCCGCUCACUCAUUCCUCUCCCGAUCCCACCACUACUCCGCCGCCCCCACCGGUGUCAUCCACCGUUGCUCGCAGCCUCGGCUCCUCCUUGACAUCCGGCCGCGCCUGACGCUCCACGCAUCAUGGCGCACUCCGCCCUGCUGCACGAAGUGCUCCACCUCAACGUCCACCGCCUCGGCCAACCGCCCAACUUCGCUGCCGGUUGCUAUCCCGACUCAUCCUCGACUUCCUCAACAUCCGACAGCACCUGACGCUCCCCGGCAGCAUGGUGCACUCCACCACGCCACACCCCACUCUCCUCCUCGACAUCCAUGCCGCCCGUCACCCUAGCCAACUGGCCCCCUUCCUCGCCAGUUGCGACCCCGGCUCUUCCUCAACAGCCUUGACGUCCAACAGCACCUGGAGCUCCCCCGGCACCACGGCGCACUCCAUCCCGCAGGAUUCCGGGCUCCCCGACGCCGGCCACCGCUCCGUCCCAGUUGGCCACCCCCUCUGCUUGUUGUGCUCCGGUGCGUUUCGCCCCCAUCCUCGCCCAGUGCCGGCCGCCCUCGGCCUGACCAACUCUGCCCUCGUCACGAACUCUGCGCUCCAGCCUCCCCCCCCCCCCCCACCGCCGCCGCACACUCGGACCUUCGACUCCCUACGUAAGCCCCCAACACCAUACCCCCGAUCACUAAUGUCAGCAAGCCCCAUGAUGAUGUCAGCAACAAGAAAUUAGAAAAUAAAUAAUGAAUUGGUAUAAAUCAUUGAAAUUAUUGGAAAAUGGCAUAAAAACUUACUUACAUGAUGCCUAUAAAUAUGUAUUUCUUCUCCAGCUUGAACACUAGCUUGUACACUCGUAGCUCGUUUCCGUAGCAUUACCAGAUGUCUAGAUCAGAAGAGAAAGGCUAGCUAGGGACUGACUUUUUGCUAUGUUUCCGUUCUAGUAUCCUAGGUGCAAGAUUUUCACAAGGGAGAGCCGCGUCAAAGCAAUGUUUCAUCCUUUUGUUUCACCUUGCACAAAAAAGUAUAGCAAACCCUAAAUUUUGCAUUGACACAACCGACUCUUUACAUCAUCUACGAAUCCAUAUUAUUAUUUUUUUGGUUGAAUCUUUCGUGUACUUUUCGGUGUUCUUUUUUUUAAGGAAAAAAAAGUUCCUUUUGCAGCACGGGAGCACCUGACCGAUGUGCUUGCAGCUGCUCAAGUGUGUUGGCGUCACUCUCACGAGGUGUCUCGUCCCAACCACUCACUCAGGCAGCACCCUGCUGGAGUGGUGGAAGGUGUGAACAAGGACUUAACGAUGGGAUUUCCGGCUUGUGCGCUUCGGUAAUGGUGCGGGUCGCUCACUCCUUAUGGUCCCUCCCCAGCCGCAUCCCCGUCGCCGACCCGGAGACCGGCGGUGAGCUGGCCGACGGCGAUUCGUCGGCCGCCUCCGGCUCCACCACGACCUGCCCCAGUCCUCCACGCGCCGACCAGGAGCAGGACUCCGCCACCGGUGCUUUGGCGCUCCUCGGCAGCGCCGAUGGCGCCACCGAAAUCUUCGUCGUCACCAGGCCCGCUCGUCCGGCCGUCAUCCCAGGCCCAGAGGCGCUCCUCCGUCUCGCUUCUCCUUCCACGUCAUCGAUCGUCUCAUGGUCAUGGAUAUGGAACCUGCUGCCCUCAUCAUCAAUCCCUUCCGCGCCCCCCCCCCCCCCCCCCCCCCCCCCCCCCGCCUGAUCAUUCUACUCCGACGAGCGAGCGCCCCGCCGACGCCGGCGACGAGGUACUAUUUAUAGUAUAUUGUUGCCCUUCAGUACUGUAGCGGAGCUGCGGAGAUAUGAUCGACGACGGACGGGAUUAUUAUUUAUUAAUUUAUAUAUCUUCUUCUUACCUUCAGGGUCGGCGGAUCUUCACCGCCGUGCUCGCGCUCCUGACGAUCGUCGCGACCGCCAUGGGCGCGAUACUCCCUGACCUGAAGGACACCGUCGGCGGCUGGAGCGCCGCGCCCAGGGCGGCGUACGGCGUCGACGCGGUGGCGGCCGUCGCGCUGAUGGCGGUCGGCGUCAUGGCCGCCGUGGCGGGCGGGUACGGGAACCGCGCCAUGCUCUCGGUCUCGGCCCUGUGCGCGAGGCUGGGCGCGAUGCUCUCCGGAAUCCUGCUCUCCAGCGCCCUGCUCGUCGUCUCCGUCUCCUGCAAGCUGGGGCCGUGGGGGUGCGCGGCCGGCGUCCCGGCCGCCGCCGUGGUGGCGGGCGCCAUGGCCGCGGUCUGGAAGCUGGGGCGGCACGGCCGUGCCGUGGCGCAGGCCGUCUCCCGUUGCCGGCGCCAAGUCGAGCGCCUGCGCCGCCGGUGCCUGCGCCGCCGCGGCGUCCUGCCGGUGACGACGAGGAGGUCUUCUGAACUCCUGGAGGGAAGAUGAUGCCCUGUGCUGAACUGCGGGCUGAGGUGGUAAUAAUUUGGUCAUUUUAGGGUCUUCAGGACUACAAGGUAGAAAGAAAACACACUGUAAUUUCGUUGCUCCAGUUAUGAGAUUCCGGAUUAGCUAGUCGCCUUCGCCUACGCCUAGUUGUCAAGGGAAAAAAUGAUUUCGUUCACGCACUAACUUUUCUGAAUUAAACCAUACUAAUAUCAUCUUUGUAUGGAUGAACACAAUGCGUAACUAAUCGGCAACUGCUCGUAAUAUAUUGUUGCCAUGCCGUGCCGAUAUCACUAUCAACCGUGGAAAAGAAAAAACAGUGUGAAAUGAUGCAUGAAUGCACUAUUGAAACGAAGUUGCAUUGUUGAGGAUAUAUGAUUAUGUCCCCCUAUAGUAUGUUUUAGGGGAAAGCUAAAUCAUACCCGCGCAUUUCUUCCCUUUCCCACACCUGAAUUUUGGUAAACACGUCGUUUUCCUUCUCCUAUGCCUCCGCCACCAUCUUCUCUAGCUCCGGCGAGCCUUUAGGGUCUGGGGUUUGGGGAAGGAGGGUUACCUGUGUCUAGCGGACCUAGAGGAGCUCCAAGGUAGCACAGUAGCGGGCGGUGGCAGUGGUUCGAACCGACGGGGCGGCGAGGCGGCGUGGGCUCCCCCAGCCUCUGGCUGCCGGAGGAUAUCCGAUUGGCCUGUGGAGCCGGUGGGGACAAGCAUCGGAACAGGUUAGCAUGGGAGCGGUGGCGAGCGGCAGCGAAGGUGGCGGGGCGCCGCCGGAGUCGAUCAGGGGGUGGAGGCGGUGGGGGCGAGCUCCGACCGGCUGUGAGAAAGAAAGAAGUGAAAAAAAAAGAGGAGGAAGAGGCAGGUCGAGCUCGCCGGAGCCGAGAACGGCAGCAAACAUCACCGGUGAUAGGGAUGGCGAGGGCGAGUCGGAGGGUGGGGGCGGUGGUUGGCUUCGAGUUGGGGACGCGCGGCGGCACGGGGCAUCGUGUCCGAUGGGCUUGCGCGAGGAGACGAGCGGACGUGAUGUUGGGUGGGGAGAAGAUAAGGUAAGGAGAGGGGUUGAUCGCAGACAUCGAUAAAUGAUCCGAAGGUCCAAAAAACCUGAGUGUGGGGAGGAGGGAAAAUACUCGGGUGUGAGGUAGACAUCCCCAUGUUUUAAUUUAGUGAGAGAUGUAGCACAGGAAGGAUACUACUCCCUCCGUCCCCAAUUAGUAUUCAUUUUAGCUUUUCUAAUGUUUGCUACAUAUCUAGACAUACAUAUAUCUAGGUCCAUAGCAAAAGCUAUUGUCAAAUUUAGUGACCAGCGGUCCACCAGGAGGUUACUCAAGUGGUAGUUUGUAGGUGGGGAGAUUGUAAGACCAAGAAGUUGAAUGGUAACAUAGGAGCGCAAGGUUUAGAUAGGUUUGGACCUCUGGAGAGUAAUACCCUACGUAUUGCUGAUAUGGUGCGGAGAGUUAACGUGCGGUAGGAUGAGUUGAGGUGUGUUACCCUCGGGGGGUGCCCCUGGCCACCUUAUAUAGGGUGACAACCUAGGGUUACAAUCCAAUAGGAUCUAAUCCUAGUCAGUUGUAACAUGGAAAGCAAUUUGAGUCAAGGAAAGCAAUCUGAGUCAGUUUAUAACAAGUAUCCUGUGAUAUCUGGAAAGAAUCCGUUCGCCCAUCCUCCGUACUUGUGCUCCAUGUAUCUUCAUGCCUUGGCCCGCACGGCGUGGUCGGACGAACCCACCUAUCAGGGCCAACUAGUACCCUGGUCGGUGGGGACCCAUGGGUACCCUUAUUCCUCAGCAAUGUAUCAAGAAAACCAAAAUGAAUAGUAAUUGGGGACGGAGGGAGUACAAAUAGCUACCGAGGUUGGCUUCAUAUGAUCGAUUUUUCGAAACGAACCAGGCAGGAGAGCUGCCGAUUAUAUUAAAAAGAAGAAAGAUCCCAAAGGAGAUACCAAAGUAGCUCCCAACAGAUAACACGGACUCAACUCAACUCAAAAACAAAAAAGAACUCAAUGACCAGUCGGAUUGAGACAUCGACGCAAGCCAUGCACCGCUAACGCCUGAGUAGCGACCACCACGCCACACCACCACCACCCAGUAGGAAAAGCCGAUAAGUAGCCCUUAUCACCAGCGCCGUCGUCCCCGAUGAUGUCCCACACCAAACCAGCCACUGCCAUGCAGGACUGGCCGUCGCAGUCCGUUGCAAGCCUAGUAGCUACCAAGGCUUCUCCACCAUACCUCCGUCAUCCUCAGGUCACACACGCACGGUCGUUGAUCUCUGUGGAUUUGUAUCAGCAGAAGUAAAAGGAGGAGCACACUGCACCAUACCUAAAAGACCACCGCUCUGCAGGAUCCAAUGCUGAAGCACCACUGCUGCACUGUACACACCAAACAACCAAAACACCGCACCGGAUUCUAACCCUCCAAGUCAACUUGAAACGCAUGGGGGGCUCGCCACAUCCACCGCUGCACACCACUCCUCGAACACAUCACCUUAAAGUGAACGGGGGCCUCGCCACUUCCGCCGCUGGACUCUACACCAAGGAUCCAGACUUGCUUUGCCGUCAGGGUGACAUGGUGCCACCAAGCUACUCCAAUAACUUCACCUCCACCUUGCCGCCAUCAGAAUCUCAGCUGUACCAUGAGCGCAGACUCAAAGCUCCACCGGCAUAGAUCCUCGCACCACCGCAACGGCACCAUGCGAGCGGCCGUUGCGGCACCAGCAUGGCUUCGUGGCCUCCAAGCCGCCGCUCCUCCUCGCCUGCGCGGCCAUCUCCGUGCCGCCAUCCUCUUCACCGGUGCCCUCUCCACGCCGCUCUUCUCCACGGGCCGCCGCCGGUCGCUGCACCUCCUCCGCGUCUUGUCCUCCGACACCUCGAACCAGCCACCCUCUAUUCACGCGGGCCCACUCCAUCCCCCGCGCAGCGCUACCUCACCUCUGCGAGCUGCAAUCAGGCACCGUACGCCCGCCGCUGGUCUAGCGCUCCGCCACCGCCGCACACAAACCGCGCGGCACCACCGCUUGGGGGGGGAGCACCACCAUACCCGGUGCAAGCCCCCCUCCCUCCCGCUAUCACCGCAGAGGGCCCGCUGAUGACGACCUUGUCACAUGAGCUACAUGACACUCGCCCUCCGCGCGGACGGCGCCGCCGUGACCGCACUAGCACGGCACCAAGAGUGUCGUGGCCCCGUUGUGGCGCCGGACGUGAAGGCAGGGCGGCCGCAAGCCCACCGCCGCGCCAUCGCGCUGGCAGGGGUCGCGACGCUCGCCAGCAGCCACCCUGCGCGGAUCCGUCACCGGGGGUGCCGGAUCCGCGGGUCUGGGACGGCACCGCCAUCUCCAUGACCCCGCGCCGCCACACCAAAGAUCCAUGUGGGCCCCUCAGCUGGUGAGAGAGGCCCUACCGCUGCCUUCCUAGGCACUCGGGCUUCCGGUGCACUGCUCCGGCAGCGGCGAGGUAGGGAGGAGGCAAUGAGUGGGGGUGGCGGCGGAGCAGGGGCGCCACCCAAGCCGCCUCCAGGGAGACGAUGCGGGGGCUCUAUCUGACCAUAGUUCUAAAUAGAUGCCUUCCGUCUGACCAUAGUUCUAAAUAGAUGCCUUUCGAAAUGAACCAGGCAGAAGAAAAAUGAUGGCUCUGCAGGAUGUAGAUGACAAUUUUUGACACCACAUUGUUUGCAAAGAGAAGAGAACGUAAAUGGGGGGGGGGGGGGGGGGGGGGGGGGGGGUAGUGCAGUCUUCUAAUAAGGAAAAGAACAAGAAGAACAAUUUCAGCCAUUCCAGUGCUUAGCUGAGCCUAACUGAAGAUAGAUGAGUGAAGCCACAACACAGCGAUGGAAAGGAGGCACGAAGCUGACGCACACGCACGCAGUGACGCAAUUUCCCAAGAGCACAAGACACGGCGCCGGCGAUGUGAUCUACAAUUGUAUUGUGCAAACCUGAUCCUCUUCCCUGCUCGGUUUCGAUCAGCCAAAAGCUUUGAAUUCUAUGUACAAGAACUCAAGAAGUUUUCAACGGGCGUCAUCCGCUUGUCAUCUCUUCCUCUAGGCAGUUAGGCACUAGGCUAUCCACAGGCCAACGAUUCCAAGCAAAUUUCUUCCUAUUUUCGUCUGAACACCUGAAAAAAAAAACUGUGUUGUUGAAGGUCCUUGAUUUUUUUUUCACAAUACUAACAUGUCACAUCGCCCGUUCCCCUGCUCGCAAUCGUGUCGAGGAGAGUGAGUGGGCUGGCCCACGAACCCACAUGAGCUGUAUCUUUUAGCCUUUUGCGCG
rnacentral:lncRNA from 1 species